UCCUACGGGAGGCAGCAGUGGGGAAUAUUGCACAAUGGGGGGAACCCUGAUGCAGCGACGCCGCGUGGGUGAGGAAGUACUUCGGUAUGUAAAGCCCUAUCAGCAGGGAAGAAAAUGACGGUACCUGACUAAGAAGCCCCGGCUAACUACGUGCCAGCAGCCGCGGUAAUACGUAGGGGGCAAGCGUUAUCCGGAUUUACUGGGUGUAAAGGGAGCGUAGACGGCGAAGCAAGUCUGAAGUGAAAACCCAGGGCUCAACCCUGGGACUGCUUUGGAAACUGUUUUGCUA
rnacentral:rRNA from 1 species